rnacentral:rRNA from 1 species
AGCGAACGUUAGCGGCGGGCCUAACACAUGCAAGUCGAGCGAGAAAAGGGCUUCGGCCCUGAGUAAAGCGGCGGACGGGUGAGUAACACGUAGGUAAUCUUCCCUUGAGCGGGGGACAACGAGCCGAAAGGCUCGCUAAUACCGCAUAAGUUUCUCGGGACUCCGGUCCUGGGAAGGAAAGCUAGGUAGCAAUAUCCGGCACUCGAGGAGGAGCCGGCGUCGCAUCAGCUAGUUGGUGGGGUAACGGCCUACCAAGGCGAAGACGCGUAGCUGGUCUGAGAGGAUGAUCAGCCACACUGAAACUGAGACACGGUUCAGACUCCUACGGGAGGCAGCAGUGGGGAAUAUUGGACAAUGGGCGCAAGCCUGAUCCAGCCACGCCGCGUGAGUGAUGAAGGCCUUCGGGUCGUAAAGUUCUGUGGGGAGGGACGAACCGCCGUUGGUGCAUAGCCAACGGCAUGACGGUACCUCCUUAGCAAGCACCGGCUAACUUCGUGCCAGCCGCCGCGGUAAUAC